AACGAACGCUGGCGGCGUGCCUAACACAUGCAAGUCGAGGGAGAAAGCCCGCAAGGGCGAGUAAACCGGCGAACGGGUGCGUAACACGUGGAUCAUCUACCUUCCUGACUGGGACAACUGGCCGAAGGGCUUGCUAAUACCAGAUAAGCCCACGACGUUUACGGACGUUGAGGGAAAAGGUGGCCUCUGCAUGCAAGCUAUCGCAGGGAGAUGAGUCCGCGGCCCAUCAGCUAGUUGGCGGGGUAAAGGCCCACCAAGGCUACGACGGGUAGCUGGUCUGAGAGGAUGAUCAGCCACACUGGGAACUGAGACACGGGUCCAGACCUCCUACGGGAGGCAGCAGUGGGGAAUCUUGCGCAAUGGGCGAAAGCCUGACGCAGCAACGCCGCGUGUGUGAUGAAGGUCUUCGGAUCGUAAAGCACUGUCGCGAGGG
rnacentral:rRNA from 1 species